rnacentral:rRNA from 1 species
AGGAGCUUGCUCCUCUGACGUUAGCGGCGGACGGGUGAGUAACACGUGGAUAACCUACCUAUAAGACUGGGAUAACUUCGGGAAACCGGAGCUAAUACCGGAUAAUAUAUUGAACCGCAUGGUUCAAUAGUGAAAGACGGUUUUGCUGUCACUUAUAGAUGGAUCCGCGCCGCAUUAGCUAGUUGGUAAGGUAACGGCUUACCAAGGCGACGAUGCGUAGCCGACCUGAGAGGGUGAUCGGCCACACUGGAACUGAGACACGGUCCAGACUCCUACGGGAGGCAGCAGUAGGGAAUCUUCCGCAAUGGGCGAAAGCCUGACGGAGCAACGCCGCGUGAGUGAUGAAGGUCUUCGGAUCGUAAAACUCUGUUAUUAGGGAAGAACAAAUGUGUAAGUAACUAUGCACGUCUUGACGGUACCUAAUCAGAAAGCCACGGCUAACUACGUGCCAGCAGCCGCGGUAAUACGUAGGUGGCAAGCGUUAUCCGGAAUUAUUGGGCGUAAAGCGCGCGUAGGCGG